rnacentral:rRNA from 1 species
UACAGAGGAAUCUACCUAGCAGUACGGAAUAACCCUGGGAAACCAGAGCUAAUACCGUAUAUUACCGAUUUAUCGGGAAAGAUUUAUCGCUGUUAGAUGAGCCUCUGCCGGAUUAGCUUGUUGGUAGGGUAAUGGCCUACCAAGGCGAUGAUCCGUAGCUGGUCUGAGAGGAUGAUCAGCCACACUGGAACUGAGACACGGUCCAGACUCCUACGGGAGGCAGCAGUGGGGAAUAUUGGACAAUGGGCGCAAGCCUGAUCCAGCAAUACCGCGUGAGUGAUGACGGCUUUCGGGUUGUAA